rnacentral:rRNA from 1 species
CCAAGGAGUCUAACAUGUGCGCGAGUCGCUCGGUCUUGAAUAGGCCAGAGGGGGCGCAAUGAAAGUAAAGUUGAUUGAGUUAUGAUCCUUGUCUUUUGCGAGGGUGCAGCAAUGUGCUCUCGGGGCGAGGCGCAAUAACAGCCCUCCUAAACUGCCCAUAUCGACAGUUGGGAGGAGUUUUAGCGUACACGUUGGUACCCGAAAGAUGGUGAACUAUGCCUGGGCAAGACGAAGCCAGAGGAAACUCUGGUGGAGGUCUGUAGCGAUUCUGACGUGCAAAUCGAUCGUCAGACCUGGGUAUAGGGGCGAAAGACUAAUCGAACCAUC